GGGGUGGUAGUGGGGUGGUGGUAGUGGGGUGGUAGUGGGGUGGUAGUGAGGUGGUAGUGGGGUGGUAGUGAGGUGGUGGUAGUGGGGUGGUAGUGAGGUGGUAGUGAGGUGGUGGUAGUGAGGUGGUAGUGGGGUUGUAGUGGGGUGGUGGUAGUGGGGUGGUAGUGAGGUGGUAGUGGGGUGGUAGUGGGGUGGUAGUCGGGUGGUAUUGUAUGUAAAAGGGUGAGUGAUCGUCCCCUGAUAUGGAGCUGAAAGAAACUCUGGAGUCUAAAAGCAGAGUCAGUCUGCUGCUGCUGUGAGUCAGAGAGACUGAGA
ensembl:lncRNA